CAUGAAGCUAACCCGGCAAAACCUGGAUGAACAAAGCCUUGUUCAUUCAUAGUCAAUGCCCGGUCUGGAAGAAGUCUGAGAAAUUGUUCUGCUAGAAAGAUGAGCAGGAAAUUUCAUACAUUUAGCUCCAGCUGAAGGUGCGGAUGAAAGAUAACAAAAUUAUAAUGCAGCAUGGCCUGGACUAACAGGAUGAAGCAGCAAAUGGAGAUUCCUUGGCUAGAAAACUCCAUUGCAAAAUUCAGAUUUCAAAGGAUGGCUGUGUUUCACAUUGCAUAUUAGAUAAGUUCACCUUUAAAUGCAAACUGGAUUGACU